rnacentral:rRNA from 1 species
GACCUCGGAUCAGGUAGGAAUACCCGCUGAACUUAAGCAUAUCAAUAAGCGGAGGAAAAGAAACCAACAGGGAUUGCCCCAGUAACGGCGAGUGAAGCGGCAACAGCUCAAAUUUGAAAUCUGGCUUCGGCCCGAGUUGUAAUUUGUAGAGGAUGCUUUUGGUGCGGUGCCUUCUGAGUUCCCUGGAACGGGACGCCAGAGAGGGUGAGAGCCCCGUAUAGUUGGACACCAAGCCUUUGUAAAGCUCCUUCGACGAGUCGAGUAGUUUGGGAAUGCUGCUCUAAAUGGGAGGUAUAUCUCUUCUAAAGCUAAAUAUAGGCCAGAGACCGAUAGCGCACAAGUAGAGUGAUCGAAAGAUGAAAAGCACUUUGAAAAGAGGGUUAAAUAGUACGUGAAAUUGUUGAAAGGGAAGGGCUUGUGACCAAGACUUGUGCCGGGCUGAUCAUCCACGGUUCUCCGUGGUGCACUCUGCCCCGGCUCAGGCCAGCGUCCGGUUCUGGCAGGGGGACAAAAAGCUUAAGGNAACGUGGCUCCUNCCGGGAGUGUNAUAGCCCUUUGCUCAAUACCCC